rnacentral:rRNA from 1 species
GAUGAACGCUGACAGAAUGCUUAACACAUGCAAGUCAACUUGAAUUUGGGUUUUUUAACUUAGAUUUGGGUGGCGGACGGGUGAGCAACGCGUAAAGAACUUGCCUCACAGCUAGGGACAACAUUUGGAAACGAAUGCUAAUACCUGAUAUUAUGAUUAUAAGGCAUCUUAGAAUUAUGAAAGCUAUAUGCGCUGUGAGAGAGCUUUGCGUCCCAUUAGCUAGUUGGAGAGGUAACGGCUCACCAAGGCGAUGAUGGGUAGCCGGCCUGAGAGGGUGAACGGCCACAAGGGGACUGAGGCACGGCCCUUACUCCUACGGGAGGCAGCAGUGGGGAAUAUUGGACAAUGGACCAAGAGUCUGAUCCAGCAAUUCUGUGUGCACGAUGACGUUUUUCGGAAUGUAAAGUGCUUUCAGUUGGGAAGAAAAAAAUGACGGUACCAACAGAAGAAGAGACGGCUAAAUACGUG